GUGUGUGUGUGUGUGUCUGUGUGUGUGUAUCUUGUUUGCAGCUCCAAAGAAUCCCUACAUAGAACUGGCAGAAACAAUCAUGGGUAUUUGUCUCCACCUAGUGGUUGGUAUAUAUUUUAAAUACAGUGAUGAUGAGCAGCACUUCUUUCAGUACUGUAUUUUCUACACAAGCACUCUUUAAAGAGCCGCUAUUAUAGUAGAAUAUGUUUACAUGCUUUGAUGUUCAAACACAUACUAUGUUUCUCAUACUCAUGUUUGCUGCAGCUCUGCCUGAAACACUGUCUGAGCUCUUGGCUCUCCUUCCUGAAAAACACAGUUUAUUGUGUAUUGUUUAUUGUUUAUUAAGGAUCCCCAUUAGUCAUCACCAUAGUGAAAAGUAUUCUUCCUGGGGUCCAACACAAGACAAUAUACAAUUAUUACAAAGGAAAUUAUAAAUACAUAUUGUUAUAUCAGAACAAUGAAAACAUCCCAAAUAUUAUAAAACAAAAGGCACAGUAGCAUGUUUUCCAUGUUAUAAAAACAACAAAACAGUAACAUGAAAUAAAAUAUAUAGUGAAGAAGCAAGAAAGAAGACAACAGAAAGGAAUGACAGAAACAGGUUUUAACCUAAUCUCUGAUAACAGCUUCUCUUAGUUUGUUUUUUAAGCUUGAAGUAUUUCACAUUAUGAUUAAAUGUGAGGGGAAGCUGUUCCAAUAUGUUAUAGUUCUGUACAUAAAAAUUUUUUUUAAGCACAUCGGUUCUGGGCAUAGGCAGCCAUAACCCACCUAACAUAAAACAUAACCAUGGUAUCAUAACUAUGACGACCAUUGGUAGCUGUGAGAACAAGCUGUUGGGUUUGCAUAAUGUACAAAUAUUCUUUAAAAAUACAAUCAGGCUGCAGCUAGUCUUUCAUCUACUGUCAUCCAUGACAGCCUGCUAUGCAUUUUUUCCACAUUACUUCUUUUGGAGCAGCGCAAUUUGAUAAGCUCUUGUUUUGAGGCACCAGACCAGAUUAUAGGGCAAUAGUCCAGAGACUGUCCCAUCAGUCUGCUCUGAUUGGUCAGCUGGCCCACUAUCUUGUGAUUGGGGAAUAUUAGCCAUCUUUUGGCUGUGUAUUUAGCACAUUGGUUUUGAAAUGUAACAGUGACUACAAGGUUAAAAGUUAAAGUUAAAAGCUCAACUUUAAUUUGCAGAAGCUACAUGUAUCAGAUAAUGAACUGUGAUGCUGGAAAGUAACUAAGAAAAAAUAAAUAAAAGUAACUAAGUACAUUUCCCACUUACUAUGCUUACUUGAGUAUUUCCAUUGUUUUUAGUAUAUAAAAAACCAACCCUGAGCAUAUUAUACAAUAUGAUGCAUUGUAUUAUAGUAAAUGAAACCAGCAGUGUUUAAGGUAUUAGAUUACUGCAUACUUGCGGUACUUUUCUAACAAUGAUAUGACAUGUUAUGAUUGAAUGACAGAUUACAUAGUAGUAUAGCCACUUUUAGGCAGGGUUGGUAACUAUUUCCAAUAUACACUUUCUAUAUAUUGUUUGAAAUGGUCAUGUAGCUGCUAGCAGACAAUAUUAUAAUCUUGUAAAAUCGUCCACCAAUCCCUGCCUCGCGGUUCGCUUGGAAAGAACCAAUGAAAUGCCUCCUUGUCCCACUGCAUGUACUCUAACCCUCCGAGCCUGUACGAGCCUGCUGAGCCCAGUGUGCGCUGACCGAGAAAACUCAGCCAAAGUUGCCGCUGCUGCCAUUAUUGACGUCUUUCUGUUGGACAUAUCUGAAUACUUGAUUACUGUUCAAUACCGUGAAUACUGUUGGUGUCCUCCAAUAAUAGGACCAAAGGUUAUUGAAUGAUUAGCUGCUCAGAUGUUUGAGGACAAGUUUUUUUCAUUGCCUUCCAUUAUUUGAGGAGCAGAAGAGCUUACAGGCCCUGCGCGGUGUUUCCACUUCCACUGCCUGAUUAGACCUCUCUUCUGUGUGGUGGCAAGAGGCGUGGCUUCGAGGAAGUAGGUCAAGGGGUGUGCACAGCUGCAGCGCAUUCCAUGAUUCACCUCAGCAGUACAUACCCGGGCUGAUCACCCCAUUGGCGCCAGAUCCUUACAACUACCUGUGUGCUCCAUGCUGCUCUGUCCUCCAUGCUUGGAUUCCUCUAUGAAUCAGAGUGGACUCUCCUCUGCCUGCCUGGCCUCGAGUCUCGGUCCAGUCCUGGAUUCUCCGCUGCCUGACCUCCUCGAGCUUCGGUCCAGCCUCGAGCUAUCCUGCUCGGACUCUGCCUUCAUUGUUCCCUCUAAGUUCAUACUGUUCAUUAAAACACCUUUUAACAUCUUGA